GGGUGUGGUCUUAGAAUGCGACCAGUGUAGACAGUAAAUCGGUGUGGUCCUUGAGUUCACACUCACCAGGGCAGAAAGGACUGGCGCAAGGAGACAGUUUUCCACUGUUGGCACGGUUCAGAACAAGUGAGUCGGGUGGAGAGGUAGGGACGGAGCAAUGGUCCUUCAGGCAGCCCAAGGGUGGAAACUGUGGCUGUGGCCGUGGAUGUUGGGGCGUUGGGGAUGGGAGAGUUGGAGGAGCUGUAGGGCGGGUCAGUGGGGUUGGGCGGUGCCGGCAGCAGUGAGUUGCAGGAAUGAUGGCCAAUAGUUCCGGAGGAGGGCGUGGCAUUGUGCAGUGGAGGGCUUCCGUGUGAUCUCCAAGCGCCGUGCCUAGUUUGCUGUGUCUUCCGCCCGCCCCGCCCUGGCCCUGCAAGCCUCUCCCUGCGCCUUGAUACCGCAGGGCGCCUUCUGCUGCUGCUGGGGCGGUGGGCGGCCAGGCAGCUGGAGGAGCCCACGACGAGGACCAGGAUGAGAAUGAAGACGGGACCGAGACGCCCCCAGAUCAUGGCGUCUCUGCGGGAACCGACACAUAGACGAAGGACCUUGUAUACAGAGCUAUUUUACAGAAAUUGCGAGUGGCACCAUGGUAUUUUUUGUGGAGCCUCACCCUCUCCUGGGCCCGCACCCCGUCGUCGUCCUCAGUCCCUGGGCAGACAUUCAUAAGCCCCUAACCGCUAAUCCCACGGUGACUCUAGCCCAA
rnacentral:lncRNA from 1 species